AGUGAACUCUGGCGGUAGGCCUAACACAUGCAAGUCGAACGGCAGCACAGGAGAGCUUGCUCUCUGGGUGGCGAGUGGCGGACGGGUGAGGAAUACAUCGGAAUCUACUUUUUCGUGGGGGAUAACGUAGGGAAACUUACGCUAAUACCGCAUACGACCUACGGGUGAAAGCAGGGGAUCUUCGGACCUUGCGCGAUUGAAUGAGCCGAUGUCGGAUUAGCUGGUUGGCGGGGUAAAGGCCCACCAAGGCGACAAUCCGUAGCUGGUCUGAGGGGAUGAUCAGCCACACUGGGACUGAGACACGGUCCGGACUCCUACGGGAGGCAGCAGUGGGGAAUAUUGGACAAUGGGCGCAAGCCUGAUCCAGCCAUACCGCGUGGGUGAAGAAGGCCUUCGGGUUGUAAAGCCCUUUUGUUGGGAAAGAAAUCCAGCUGGCUAAUACCCGGUUGGGAUGACGGUACCCAAAGAAUAAGCACCGGCUAACUUCGUGCCAGCCGCCGCAGUAA
rnacentral:rRNA from 1 species